UACGUAGGUGUCAAGCGUUGUUCGGAUUUAUUGGGCGUAAAGGGUCCGCAGGUGGCCUGGCAAGUCUGAUGUGAAAUCCCGGAGCUCAACUCCGGAACUGCAUUGGAAACUGCCUGGGCUGGAGUACCGGAGAGGAGAUUGGAAUUCCAGGUGUAGCGAUAAAAUGCGUAGAUAUCUGGAAGAACACCGAAAGCGAAGGCAGAUCUCUGGACGGAUACUGACACUCAGGGACGAAAGCAUGGGGAGCAAACAGG
rnacentral:rRNA from 1 species